rnacentral:rRNA from 1 species
CCUACGGGAGGCAGCAGUGGGGAAUCUUGCGCAAUGGGCGAAAGCCUGACGCAGCAACGCCGCGUGAGUGAGGAAGGCCUUCGGGUUGUAAAACUCUGUCCUGGGGGAAGAAACAAAUGACGUACCCCGAGAGNCCNCNANNU